rnacentral:rRNA from 1 species
UACAGAGGGUGCGAGCGUUAAUCGGAAUUACUGGGCGUAAAGAGUGCGUAGGUUGAUAGAUAAGUCAGAUGUGAAAGACCAGGGCUUAACCUUGGGGGUUGCAUUUGGUACUGUUUAUCUAGAAUGUGGUAGGGGGUAGUGGAAUUUCCGGAGUAGCGGUGAAAUGCGUAGAUAUCGGAAGGAACACCAGUGGCGAAGGCGACUACCUGGACUGACAUUGACACUGUGGCACGAAAGCGUGGGUAGCGAACAGG